rnacentral:rRNA from 1 species
UAACACAUGCAAGUCGAGGGGUAACAGGGAUUGCUUGCAAUCCGCUGACGACCGGCGCACGGGUGCGUAACGCGUAUGCAACCUACCUUUUACAAGGGGAUAGCCCAGAGAAAUUUGGAAUAAUACCCUAUACGAUCAUCAAUUGGCAUCAAUUAAUGAAGAAAACUCCGGUGGUAAAAGAUGGGCAUGCGUCCUAUUAGUUAGUUGGUAAGGUAACGGCUUACCAAGACUCCGAUAGGUAGGGGUCCUGAGAGGGAGAUCCCCCACACUGGUACUGAGACACGGACCAGACUCCUACGGGAGGCAGCAGUGAGGAAUAUUGGACAAUGGAGGCAACUCUGAUCCAGCCAUGCCGCGUGCAGGAAGACGGCCCUACGGGUUGUAAACUGCUUUUAUACAGGAAGAACUAUAUCUACGUGUAGAUAUUUGACGGUACUGUACGAAUAAGGAUCGGCUAACUCCGUGCCAGCAGCCGCGGUAAUACGGAGGAUCCAAGCGUUAUCCGGAAUCAUUGGGUUUAAAGGGUCCGUAGGCGGUCUAAUAAGUCAGAGGUGAAAUCCUACAGCUCAACUGUAGCAUUGCCUUUGAUACUGUUAGACUUGAGUUAUUGUGAAGUAGUUAGAAUGUGUAGUGUAGCGGUGAAAUGCAUAGAUAUUACACAGAAUACCGGAUUGCGAAGGCAGAUUACUAACAAUAUACUGACGCUGAGGGACGAAAGCGUGGGUAGCGAACAGGAUUAGAUACCCUGGUAGUCCACGCCGUAAACGAUGGAUACUAGCUGUUCGAUCAACAUUGGGUUGGUUGAGUGGCUAAGCGAAAGUGAUAAGUAUCCCACCUGGGGAGUACCCCUCGCAAGAGUGAAACUCAAA